AUUAGGAAUCUUGCGCAAUGGGCGAAAGCCUGACGCAGCGACGCCGCGUGACUGAUGAAGUCCUUCGGGAUGUAAAAGUCUUUUGCCAGGGAAGAAGGAUGUGACGGUACCUGGCGAAUAAGCCCCGGCUAACUACGUGCCAGCAGCCGCGGUAAUACGUAGGGGGCGAGCGUUGUCCGAAGUCACUGGGCGUAAAGCGCGCGUAGGCGGUCUUUUAAGUUGGAUGUGAAAUCCUGCGGCCCAACCGCAGAACUGCAUCCAAAACUGGGAGACUUGAGGAUGGAAGAGGGCAGUGGAAUUCCUGGUGUAGCGGUGAAAUGCGUAGAUAUCAGGAGGAACACCCGUGGCGAAGGCGGCUGCCUGGUCCAUAUCUGACGCUGAGGUGCGAAAGCUAGGGGAGCGAACGGGAUUAGAAACCCCAGUAGUCC
rnacentral:rRNA from 1 species